rnacentral:rRNA from 1 species
UGGGGAAUAUUGGACAAUGGGCGAAAGCCUGAUCCAGCAAUGCCGCGUGAGUGAUGAAGGCCUUAGGGUUGUAAAGCUCUUUUACCAGGGAUGAUAAUGACAGUACCUGGAGAAUAAGCUCCGGCUAACUCCGUGCCAGCAGCCGCGGUAAUACGGAGGGAGCUAGCGUUGUUCGGAAUUACUGGGCGUAAAGGGCGCGUAGGCGGCGCGGUAAGUCACUUGUGAAAUCUCUGAGCUUAACUCAGAACGGCCAAGUGAUACUGCAGUGCUAGAGUGUAGAAGGGGCAAUCGGAAUUCUUGGUGUAGCGGUGAAAUGCGUAGAUAUCAAGAGGAACACCUGAGGUGAAGACGGGUUGCUGGUCUAACACUGACGCUGAUGCGCGAAAGCCAGGGGAGCAAA